UGAUAGGGAUGCUCCAACCUCACGGACUUGAAACAGCAGCGGAGAUCAUGAAUGAACAGCAGCGGACAAGAUAUGGAAUGCAGCAGAGAUGAGAUGCGGUGGAACUGAGUUGCGGUUGCAAUCUGAGAUACGGCAAAUGAGAUGCGGAGAGAGUUUGGAUAAUAAAGUGAUAGAGAAUCACGCAGAAUGGAGUAGGUGUUUAGGUGAAGGAAGUUGAUGGUGGAAGUGAGCUUUGGUGGUGAUGGAGACUAGCUCAGCCGGCCUUCCAUUGGAAGGAAGCUAGUUGAGAUGUGGAGAAGCUCAGGGAGGACUUUCGGCCAGAGUUUCAGAUGCUGGACAGUUUCAACAGCAAAGAGAAAUCUCAUUACAUCCAAAAGUGUGUUCUCAUUACAUCCAAAAGUGUGUUACAAGCUUUGCCAAUGAGAUUUUAUAGAUCAAUCUCAAGGCCAUGCAUGGGAAAUAUCAGAUCUACAUGUUUCAGAUCUCAUUCCAACUAAUUAACCAUGUGCUAAAUGUGUGUGGCUUCUAGAAAGCUUUAUUAAACACAUGUAAAAUAUGCUAUGUGCCUANNNNNNNNNNNNNNNNNNNNNNNNNNNNNNNNNNNNNNNNNNNNNNNNNNNNNNNNNNNNNNNNNNNNNNNNNNNNNNNNNNNNNNNNNNNNNNNNNNNNNNNNNNNNNNNNNNNNNNNNNNNNNNNNNNNNNNNNNNNNNNNNNNNNNNNNNNNNNNNNNNNNNNNNNNNNNNNNNNNNNNNNNNNNNNNNNNNNNNNNNNNNNNNNNNNNNNNNNNNNNNNNNGUCUUGAGUUAGUGAUAACUUGGAAGAUAUCUCUAACUCAAGUCUUUGAGUGCCAUGUGUUAAAGAGUGCAACUUUUGAAAAGGUUUGAUGGCAAAUUCUUGGAAAGAAAAGGUAGAAUUAAAGCAUUCAAUAACAAUUGGAAAGUGAAAAGAUAGAAAACCUCCCUUUAAAAAUUUGUGUUCUAUUGUGAGAAUAAGGGAUGUUGCCAGUUCUUUCUUCUUUUCUUCCAUGUCUUUCUUUUCAAGUUCUUCCUUCUCUUCCUCUUCCUUUCUUUCUUUCUCUCUUAUUUUCUCUUCUUCUCUUCUCUCUUGUACUCUUCUCUCUCUUUCUUCCUCUUCUUUUUUCUCCCUUUCUUCUUCUUCUCUUCUCACUAGUUCUCUUCUCACUUUUUCUCUUUCCUUUCUUUCUUCAUCUUCUCUCCUUUCCCUCUCUCUUCUUUCUUUCUCUAUUCUCUCCUUAUCUUUUCUCUCUUGCUCUCUUCUUUCUUGUUCUCCCUUCCUCUCUCUUUCUCUUUUCUGAUCCUUUAGCUUUUGAAGUUUGUCCCCAAAUUCUAUUUCUCUGCGAAAGAAACCUUGAUCUUUUAAACUCUCAAGAAAUGAUUUUCCCUCUUGAAUACUAUCUCUCAUAAGUUUCAAGUUUCUUAUAAUCAAAGGAGGUACAAACUUUCUUCUCAUGCACGCUCUCAAUUCAUACCAAUUUUCAAUGGUGGAUUUCCUACCUUUAGGAACCCAAUAUUGCCUCUCAUCCCACCACUCAUAUGCAUGCUUUUCUAACCUAGAAAGAUAUAAACUAAGAACACGAGAUUUACACUCUCUAGAAAGAACAAUUGUACUAUAAGACUCAAGUUCAUUUUGUCUGAGAAGAACAGGAUGCAUUUGAUUAAUUUCUUUUUCCCAAACUAAGUAUGUUAAGACAUUUGUAUCUUUACCAAAGAAGGGAAUUUUUCUAGCUUUAGUACACAAAUCAUCCUUAAUGUAUGAACUAGACAACCUAGAUGAAUAAAAAGACUUUUUUUUUUGUUUCUAAAAGUUUUCUUGUGUCACAACUACUUAGAUUUUACCCAAGAACAAUUUCCAGGUAAGGGAGGUGAAUCACUAGGAUUGCUUAAGUACCAAGCCUUGUCCUUGCCAAAAUUGUUCUAGGCUACUCACUUAGUUGUUGUUACUUGCAAGAUUACUUUUAAAAUCACAAAAGAAGACUCAAAAGCAAAUAAAAAACAAAGGAAAACAACAAGUUGGGACUCUAAUGCCGGACUCUAAUGUAACUCCUAAACGGGUAACACAAAUUAAAACACAAAAGAAAAGUUUUGCCAAGAGUUGAAAGAGCACCAAGGACUCUUCCAAGAAACUUGGACUUUGAAUGGCCUUUUACAAAAAAAACAAUUGAAGACUAAAACAGAUUUCAGCUAAAAACAUCACAAAACAGAUGCAAGAAUCAUAAAUUCUGCAAUGGGCUGUUACAGCUGCUCCUAACGUGUACUGCUGCUGAUUUUGCUCUUGGACAGUGUUGACAGUCAUGGUUGAUGUGCAUCCAGUUUCAUAUAAGCACUGCUGNAGUAGUUUUACAGUUGCUGAUUACACUGCUGCAGCCAACGAUUCAAUACUUUCCAGACCAAUUCUGCAUAGCUNCACAUGCCAAAACACAAAUUCUCCAAGCACUAACAAUUAUAAUUGAAUAUCAACAAUGCUAAUAGAGAUUAGAACUUGGAAAUGGAGCGCAGUUACCACUUUGGUAAGCUGAUUUAAUGCAAAUUAAAUGGAGAACAAAUUGCUUCCAGAAUUGAAAGAAAAAAUUGAACUUGGUUCAACAAUAUUUUAAUGAAAUCUGAGGCAAUCUNAGCUUGACUAGCUUUCUACAUUCAAAUCAGUACACCAAAUGAGUAAAACCAAAUCAGUUUUGGCAAUUUUGUUUUCAAAAAUUCAUUUCACGAAAAUUGUAGUCNAAACAGUAUUUGGAAGUUCAUUCAAAAUGUUCACAAUCUGGAAAACAAAACAGAAGAAAAAGGUAUUGGACUUUGCAGCUUUGGUUUCUCUUUAGAAAUAAGAAUCAAAGAAGAUUCUGCAAAGCUCUCAGCUGCGGGUAGAGUUGCACUAUGCUGGAAACAUUCUGCAGAUUUGCAGAAUGAAGAUUCACGUGAAUUCUGCACNNNAAAUAGCUUCUCAACCUGGACUUCUCCUCUCUCAAUCUCCUUCCUAAGAUGCUACCAAUGAUAAGGACAGAUGAAUUCGUCUCUGCACCAAUCUAGAACUCACAUAGACCACCAAAUUUUAGUUAAAAAAAAACCGCAAAGUAUAACUGUUGCUGCUAUAGAAAUCUGCUAAACCAGAAGCACUGCUGUCAUAUUAUCAAACAGCUUAUGUGCAGAAUGUUCAAACAAAUCAAAGCAAGCAAUUAAACGGUUUUCAAUGGAAGGUGGCACUCAAAAUGAACUUAAGAAUGGUUCUAGAGUGGAUUUGAAAAACAAGAAACAAAUAUAAGUUGCAGGUACAUUGAAUUCAACUCAAAUGGAAUUUAGGCAAAAGUGUUUGAAGAAAUGCCUAAAUGAACUGCUGAUAACUAUGCAUUCAGUUUCUGACUUAUGUCAAUUGGCACGGUUCCUUUUGCUUUUACAAUGCAGCAUAUAUGUAUUUUGAUUUAUGCUUUCGUUCUUUUUCUUUAAUUACUGGAACCAAGCAUUUUGCUCCCAAUGAUCAUACAAUAUGGAUGCACACUUCACAGCAAUAUUAUCAUAAAAACACUGCAACUUAUUCAAAAGAAAUUUGGCUGAAAUAAGGAAACUGGAUUGGCUAUAUUUAGCAGACAAUGGUAUUUUUCGUAUUUGAAGCUUUCAGCAACUUUAAUUGACCAAAUGUGACUUAUAUAAAUGGUCAAGUGAAACAAUUCAGAUGUGAAUCAAAAUUUGACUCUAUGAGUUGCUAUUUCAAGCUAAAUCAUAGCCAAUGCAUUAUGCAGAUUCAGCAUAGGAUUCAAAAGUUUUUGGAUCAGAGAUUUGGCACUUUAAGCAAGUUUGAAUUGCCAAAAAUAUCAUAUUAAAAUGGCUUUAAGGCACUACAUACGGCCAGUUCAAAAUUUCACCACAUAGGUUGCUCAAUUCAACCAAAAAUUGGUCUAAUACACUAGCCAAAAUGCAGCAGAAUAUCCAAACUGUUAUGAAACACGUUUUGUGACUUUAGAAGAGCAAAAUAAACUUGAAAAAAAAGACUCGAGGAAUGACUUUACAGAUGUCCAGCAUUCAAUACUACUACUGAACAGAAUUAAAAGCAUAAAAAGACACAAACACAAGGAAGGCAGUUCGGUCAAGUUGCUAUGAAAAUAACCUUUGAAUUAUGUAGUGUGAUACAACCAAAUUGGUUCGUCUUAACAAAUCACUUUUUAUUUGGUAAAUUCACACACUGUUACAGCACAUAUGCACAUACCAGAAACAUAAUUAUGACUUUGCAUCAGAUUUAAAACAGAAUCGAAUCUAUGCUUCUGUACUGCAGUUGAUGGAUUCAGAUCACACUUGAGCUCUAUGAAUCAUUGCUCAUGUUAGUGUGCAUCUUUUGAAUUCCAUAUCAAACAUCACAGAUCUAUCCAGAUGCAGUUUCAACUUAGAAAUUUGACAGAAUAAAAUCAAAACACAUUACUAGACAUAACAGAAUGGGAUUUGAAAAUUUAAAAGACUCAAGGACACAAGAUCGGACCGAUUAAAAAAAAUGAACAAAUAAAAGCAAUGAAAAGUUGGAUCAAACAAUGCAAUCAGUGGAAACUACUGGAAUGAAGAGAAACCAAUGGAACAGUGAAACAAAGAAGCAAAAACACGAAGGAAAAUAUAUUGACAGUGUAGAAUGAAUGAAGAAAACACUUAGCUGGAACAACCAGAGAGCACCGUGAGCAACCUAGGCUCUGAUACCAUAUGAUAGGGAUGCUCCAACCUCACGGACUUGAAACAGCAGCGCAAAUCAUGAAUGAACAGCAGCGGACAAGAUAUGGAAUGCAGCAGAGGUGAGAUGCGGUGGAACUGAGUUGCGGUUGCAAUCUGAGAUACGACAAAUGAGAUGCGGAGAGAGUUUGGAUAAUAAAGUGAUAGAGAAUCACGCAGAAUGGAGUAGGUGUUUAGGUGAAGGAAGUUGAUGGUGGAAGUGNNN
rnacentral:lncRNA from 1 species